GUCUACCGCCAUGCUACCCUGAACAAGCCCAAUCCCAUCUGAUCUCGGAAGCUAAUCAGUGUUGGGCCCAGUUAGUACUUGGAUGGGAGACCACCUAAGAAGACCAGGUGCUGUAGGAA
rnacentral:rRNA from 1 species